rnacentral:rRNA from 1 species
AGACCCGAAACCCGGUGAUCUAGCCAUGGGCAGGUUGAAGGUUGGGUAACACUAACUGGAGGACCGAACCGACUAAUGUUGAAAAAUUAGCGGAUGACUUGUGGCUGGGGGUGAAAGGCCAAUCAAACCGGGAGAUAGCUGGUUCUCCCCGAAAGCUAUUUAGGUAGCGCCUCGUGAAUUCAUCUCCGGGGGUAGAGCACUGUUUCGGCAAGGGGGUCAUCCCGACUUACCAACCCGAUGCAAACUGCGAAUACCGGAGAAUGUUAUCACGGGAGACACACGGCGGGUGCUAACGUCCGUCGUGAAGAGGGAAACAACCCAGACCGCCAGCUAAGGUCCCAAAGUCAUGGUUAAGUGGGAAACGAUGUGGGAAGGCCCAGACAGCCAGGAUGUUGGCUUAGAAGCAGCCAUCAUUUAAAGAAAGCGUAAUAGCUCACUGGUCGAGUCGGCCUGCGCGGAAGAUGUAACGGGGCUAAACCAUGCACCGAAGCUGCGGCAGCGACACUGUGUGUUGUUGGGUAGGGGAGCGUUCUGUAAGCC